rnacentral:rRNA from 1 species
GACGAACGCUGGCGGCGUGCUUAACACAUGCAAGUCGAACGGAAAGGCCCUGCUUUUGUGGGUUGCUCGAGUGGCGAACUGGUGAGUAACACGUGAGUAACCUGCCCUUGACUUUGGGAUAACUUCAGGAAACUGGGGCUAAUACCGGAUAGGAUCUCCUGCUGCAUGGUGGGUGUUGGAAAGUUUCGGCCGUUGGGGAUGGACUCUCGGCUUAUCAGCUUGUUGGUGGGGUAGUGGCUUAACCAGGCUUUGACCGGUAGCCGGCCUGAGAGGGUGGCCGGGACAAUUGGGAAGGAAGUGAGGCCCGGAACAAUUCCGGAGGGAAGGGAGGGGAAGAAAGUAAUACAGGGGGGAGGGUGGUGGAAGAAAGCCGCGCUGCGGGAGCGCGGCAUUCGGUUGAAAAACAGAUUUCUCUUGUAAGGAAGGAUAAGGACGGUAAUGGGGUAAAAAGCCACGGCUAACUACGUG